rnacentral:piRNA from 1 species
UAGAACAUUAUGUAUCUGACAGUCCA